UACGUAGGGUGCGAGCGUUAAUCGGAAUUACUGGGCGUAAAGCGUGCGCAGGCGGUUUUGUAAGCCGGAUGUGAAAUCCCCGGGCUUAACCUGGGAAUGGCAUUCGGGACUGCAAGGCUGGAGUGCGGCAGAGGAGACUGGAAUUCCUGGUGUAGCAGUGAAAUGCGUAGAUAUCGGGAAGAACACCCGUGGCGAAGGCGGUUCUCUGGGACGGUACUGACGCUGAGACGCGAAAGCGUGGGGAGCGAACAGG
rnacentral:rRNA from 1 species